UUUUAACUGGAGGAAGGUGGGGAUGACGUCAAGUCAUCAUGGCCCUUACGAGUAGGGCUACACACGUGCUACAAUGGCGCAUACAAAGAGAAGCGACCUCGCGAGAGCAAGCGGACCUCACAAAGUGCGUCGUAGUCCGGAUCGGAGUCUGCAACUCGACUCCGUGAAGUCGGAAUCGCUAGUAAUCGUGGAUCAGAAUGCCACGGUGAAUACGUUCCCGGGCCUUGUACACACCGCCCGUCACACCAUGGGAGUGGGUUGCAAAAGAAGUAGGUAGCUUAACCUUCGGGAGGGCGCUUACCACUUUGUGAUUCAUGACUGGGGUGAAGUCUAACC
rnacentral:rRNA from 2 species